UGAUGUUAUUAUCACACCUCUCCAUUAUUGUUCAAUACCCAUGCAAACUCUACAGUGCCCCAUGCUUCCCUCUUCUUCUCCCUCUGUCACUUUUGAUUAUACAUCUUCAAAUGAGAAGUAUUGUAGAUAUAUUGCUUUCCUACCAUGCUUUGACGGCACCUUCGAUACAAGGAUUUUAAUUUCUGAAUAACUUUCUAGAGUAAAUUGGUGAUAUUCAAUUGGAAUUCGGUGAAAUUGUAAGUAUCAGAGUGUGAGGAUUGGAGUACGAUGGUUCAGAUUGAAUAUUUUGCAUCAGUUUUAGAACUUGGGCAUCUUCAUCGUUGCUUACUUGCUUUGGUAUAGAUUUAUUGAGACAUACAUGCCUGGAGAUGAUUGAUUAAAUUCAUCUGAUCAAAUUGGAUUUGUGAUAUGUCACAACUCAUGGUGUGGUUAGUUUUAAACUACCUAUACAUGUCGUUGCUAUAGUAGACAUUAAGUUAUAAUAGUAAUCUUUGUUUGUUUAUCAUCUUCUAUAAGUUUCAUAUAUGGAACUAAUACAAAGUGACAAGGGUAGAACCUUGAACGAAGGAUGACUGCUAUGGAAAUAUGAUAAUGUUCCUGGUAUGAGUUAAAGUAUGUUUUUUUUUUAU